UAGGGAAUCUUCGGCAAUGGACGAAAGUCUGACCGAGCAACGCCGCGUGAGUGAAGAAGGUUUUCGGAUCGUAAAACUCUGUUGUUAGAGAAGAACAAGGACGUUAGUAACUGAACGUCCCCUGACGGUAUCUAACCAGAAAGCCACGGCUAACUACGUGCCAGCAGCCGCGGUAAUACGUAGGUGGCAAGCGUUGUCCGGACUUAUUGGGCGUAAAGCGAGCGCAGGCGGUUUCUUAAGUCUGAUGUGAAAGCCCCCGGCUCAACCGGGGAGGGUCAUUGGAAACUGGGAGACUUGAGUGCAGAAGAGGAGAGUGGAAUUCCAUGUGUAGCGGUGAAAUGCAUAGAUAUAUGGAGGAACACCAGUGGCGAAGGCGGCUCUCUGGUCUGUAACUGACGCUGAGGCUCGAAAGCGUGGGGAGCAAACAGG
rnacentral:rRNA from 1 species